ensembl:lncRNA
GAAGCAAACCACCAACACUGAAAUUUACAGGUGCUACAAAAAUAACCACAAAUAACCAGGUCCUCAGAUCCAGAAUUUUAAAAAUGCAUUUGUUGAAACGAGCUCAGGACUAAAGAGCGGACAGACUUAUCUCCGGGCUCACACCUAGAGAUCUCACCCUCAGCAUUCACUUGCGAUGCUCCUCCAUGGUCUCUGCUGCCUGCACUGCUGGCCAUCUGUUACAGUGGCAUCGUGCCAGCUUACAGGAUAGCUCGCCGGCUUCACAGAAGCCCCGGGGCCAAGAAAUGGUUUCAACAGGAAGCCCUUAUGUAACUCACAAGAGUGCCUGGAGAGAACUCCUGAUUGCCUCUUCUUUUCCCCACACAGCAAUGCUGAUGGUGAUUUCUGCUUCAUGACAUUUUAUUUCACCUGUUGAUUAAACUAGUAGGGUCUCCAAUCUAAAUCUUGAAAUCUGGAGAGGAAAAACACGAACCAUGUGUAGAUACCUGUGGCUGCCAAACAGACAGGUGGUGUUAUUGCCUGCUUCUUGGCAGGGCUAAUGGGAAGCAGCACGGUUUCCAUCAAUACUCUGCGAGUUUCUCCUCUAUUUCCCCAGGAUUCUCCCCCGCCAUGAAACCCCCUCUUUUUCCCAGUC